AUGGAGACCAGCACCCCUCGCAGGGCACCAGCAGCAGACGCUGCUGCGGCGUCCUCCUACGUCUCCAUGUCCCCGUCCCCCUCCCACACCCCGCGCUCCUCCACCAAGGCCAAACGAACGCUCAACAACGGCGCUGCCAUCGUCGCCUCCUCCCCUUCCCCUUCCCCUUCCCUUGCCAAGGGGGGCGGCGGCGGCGGCGGAGUUAACAUCCAGGUCCUCCUCAGAUGCAGGCCUUUAAACAAGGAGGAGCUGAGCAUAAACACUCCUGUGGUGAUCACGUGCAACGAGCAGAGGCGAGAGGUUUCCGCUGCCCAGAACAUUGCAAACAAACAGAUUGAUCGAACAUUUGUAUUUGACAAGGUGUUCGGACCAAAGUCUAAACAGCAGGAUGUGUUCAACCAUGCCGUUGUUCCACUUGUUGGUGAAGUUCUGGAUGGUUACAACUGCACAAUAUUUGCUUAUGGGCAGACUGGAACUGGAAAAACAUACACAAUGGAAGGAGGAGGGGGCAAAACACAGAAUGGCGAGCUUCCAUCUGAUGCUGGUGUUAUUCCAAGGGCUGUCAAGAGAAUAUUUGAUAUUCUCGAGGCACAGAGUGCAGAAUACAGCAUGAAGGUCUCAUUUCUUGAAUUAUAUAACGAGGAACUCACUGAUCUUUUAGCUCCAGAGGAGUCUAAAUUCUCAGAUGACAAAUCAAAGAAGCCCAUGGCACUCAUGGAAGAUGGGAAGGGAGGAGUUUUUGUUAGGGGACUGGAGGAAGAGGUAGUUUCUUCAGCCAGUGAGAUAUAUAAGAUACUUGAGAGAGGUUCUGGCAAAAGGAAAACCGCUGAAACUUUCCUCAACAAGCAAAGUAGUCGGUCACACUCUAUUUUCUCAAUCACCAUCCAUAUCAAGGAAUGCACACCAGAGGGUGAAGAAAUGAUCAAGUGUGGAAAGCUUAACCUUGUUGAUCUUGCUGGUUCAGAGAACAUAUCCCGGUCAGGUGCUAGAGAUGGCCGAGCCAGAGAAGCAGGAGAGAUCAACAAAAGUUUGCUUACCCUUGGGCGUGUCAUUAAUACUCUCGUGGAGCACUCUGGUCACAUACCAUACAGAGAUAGCAAGUUGACGAGAUUGUUAAGAGAUUCCUUGGGUGGAAAGACAAAGACUUGCAUCAUCGCAACCAUUGCGCCUUCGGUGCAUUGCCUUGAUGAGACAUUAAGCACACUAGACUAUGCGCACCGUGCCAAAAAUAUCAAGAACAAACCAGAGGUUAAUCAGAAGAUGAUGAAAUCUGCACUCAUCAAAGAUUUAUACUUCGAAAUGGACCGCCUCAAGCAAGAACUGUAUGCUGCUAGGGAAAAGAAUGGUAUUUAUAUUCCAGGGGAACAAUACCUAGCCGAUGAAGCUGAAAAGAAGGCUAUGUCAGAGAAGCUAGACCGUUUAGAGCUUGGUUUGGAGUCAAAAGACAAGCAACUAGAUGAGCUCCAAGGACUGUACGAUUCUCAGAAAGUGUUAAGUGCGGACUUAAGCGAUAAGCUUCAGACAUUGCAGAAAAGGAUGCAGGAAACUGAGUGCGCCCUAGCAGUCCUUGAAGAGAAGUAUAUGCAGGCAAACAAUACAAUAAAAGAGAAGGAGUAUCUGAUAGAAAAUCUUCUUAAAACAGAAAAAGUUCUUGUUGAUGAAGCUCACACGCUUCGGACUGAGCUGGAGAAUACAACAGAUGAUCUAUCUGGGCUAUUUUCAAAAUUAGAAAGGAAGGGCAAGAUUGAAGAUGCAAACAAAAAUAUAGUUGGACACUUCCAUUCUCAGCUCACUCAAGACAUGAAUAUCUUGCAUAGAAACAUCUCAACUUCGGUCUCUCAACAGGAGAGCCAACUGAAAGUACUUGAAGAGGAGAUGCAAUCUUUUAUCACCUCGAAGGGCAAGGUUGUUGGAGGACUUCAAAAUCAAGUAAGAGAAAUGAAAGAGAGCUUCAGUUCAAGGAUUGCAGAAUUGCAUGGCUUUGCUAAUGAGCUCAACCUCAAAUCCCAAUUAAGCUCUGAGAAGCUGAAUGCCCAAGUUAGCGCACACACAUCUGAUCUGGAGGAUCGUUUGAAGGGCCUCUUAGCUGAUGCUGACCAAUUACUCAUUGGGCUACAAAAUGGGCUCUCUCAGCAAGAAGAGAGCUUAAGUACAUUAGUUGAACAGCAGCAUGAGGGACUCACUAGAAAUGUGGAGAGAACAAAGUCUAUCUCAGCAACUACAAUGAAUUUCUUUAGAACAAUAGAUGCUCAUGCAUUGGAACUCAAAAGGAUAUUAGAAGAAUCGCAGGCAUCACAUCAAAAGCAACUUCUCCAGCUCCAAACAAAGUUUGAGGUCUGUGCCGCUGAUGAAGAGAAGUAUCUGAUGGAGAAGGUAGCAGGGUUAUUAGCAGAAUCAAAUGCUAGAAAGAAAAAUAUGGUUCGAGAUGACAUAAGCAGCCUUGCUAAGACGGCUUCUGAGCGAUCCAACAGUUUGCAAACUGAAACCACCAAGUUUCAUGAUUUCACAUCUUCUAUGAGUGAGCAAUGGGAAGCCUACGUGGAGACAACCGAAGAGGCAUUUCACAGAAACAUAUCCUCUGUUGAACAGAAGAAAUGUUGCUUGGUGGAGAAUCUCCAGCAGUGUAAAACAAGGACACAAUUAUGCUCAGAACAGUGGAGCAAUGCGCAAAAUUCAAUACUGGUACUUGGAAGAAGCAAUGCAGAAACAAUAGGUUCAGUCAUCAGCGAUGGAAAUGAGGCAAACAGCCAACUUCACAUGAGAUUUUCAUCUGCUGUCAGCACUGCUCUUGAAGAUAAUGAUAUUUCAAGCGAAGCUCUUGUUUGCUCUAUAGACGAUUCACUAAGGUUGGACCGUGGGAUCUGUGACACUGUGAGACCUAUCAUCACCGCAUCGCAGAUGCAGCUUGGUGACCUUCAAAGGAGGCACCAUGAGAAGACGUUGGGGAUAUCAGGGAAUGCCAACAGAUCAUUGGGGGAUGACUACAAGGUGGAUGAACCAACUUGUUCAACACCAACAAGGCGCCAGAUUAACAUCCCCAGCAGCCAAUCGAUCGAGGGCUUGGUAACUCCACUGGAAGACCUCGUCAAGUCAUUCAGGGACAGUAGAACUCCGUCGAAACUCGUGACUGGAAACGCGAAGCGCUUAGAUUUGGCAAUUGAGAUGGAGAGAGUUCCUCUCACUACAAUUAACUAG
rnacentral:rRNA from 1 species